CUGUGUCCGUCUCAGACAUCUUCAAGGUCCCUGUUGGGGGAUAAAUGCAGAGAGGAGGCACCGUCCCAGGAGACAUCUUCUGGACCUCCACAGGGUCUCCAGCAUGCAGCGUCGGGGGGGUUAGAGCCAGGAGUCUUUACACUCGCUGUUCCUUUUUCCUAUGCAUAUACCUCUUUCAGAUGUCACUUUAAAGAGGCAUAGGGCAUGGGAAAAUGGGGCUGCAGAGGUUUUCCACCAGGCGACCCGCCAUUUCAUCAUCCUCUCUACAGCACGGAUGACCUCAAACACGCAAACACACACACUCUGGGUACCGGUCUGCCAUCCCCUCAUUGUAAGGACUACAUAGCGUUUAUUUUGAAAUGUGUCAUUAUGUUAGAUCACAACUCCUCAUAUUUAUCUUUGAUGUGGAGGGAAGUGAUAACUCAUUUUGUUAUUAUUAACAAUGUUUUUAUUUUAUUUUAUUUUAUUUGAUGUGCAAUACCUUGUUAAAAUGCUGCUGUAACAAAACAAAAAAUCCCAUAAUUGGCUAAAUAAAAUAUUCAAAUAUUCUAUUUUAUAUAACUGUUGUGUGAAUAUUUCUUUCUGUUGUUUUGUUAAAUAAAGAAAUAUUUGCAUUAAUA